rnacentral:rRNA from 1 species
AUGCCGCAUAGCACAAGCACGGCAGCAACACCGAUGAAGCCCUUCUCGCGGAGCCUCCAGAGGGACCUGAACGCCGCAGUUGACGACGAUGACGGCAAGCAGCACUCCGCCGACGACGGCGAUGGCAAGCAGAACACCGGGAGAGGCCUCCGGCGGCCGUCCCGGCUGUUCUACCUCGCGCUCCUCUACACCGUCUUCUGGGCCCUGGUAUUCUACCACCACUUCUCCACCAGCUCGCAACAAUCGGGCAGCGCGGAGGUGGCAGCGCCCACCGUGCUCCAGCUCAAGCCGUCGGCGUUCUUCUCGGCGUAUCGCUUCUUCCGCCGGGACCCGUGCGCCGGCCGGUACGUGUACACGUACGACCUGCCGCCGCGGUUCAACGCCGACCUCGUCCGCCAGUGCAACCGGGUCUCGAUCUCCUCCCACGUGUGCAAGGACGUGUCCCACGACGGGUUCGGCCCGCCCAUCACGGGCGGCGGCGAGGGCGGGUCGCUGCCGGAGCGGGGCGCCUACGACACCGACCAGUUCAUGCUGAGCAUCAUCUUCCACGCCCGGAUGCGGCGGUACGAGUGCCUCACGGCCGACCCCGCCGCCGCCGCCGUGGUGUACAUCCCGUUCUACGCCGGCCUGGACGCGGCGAUGCACCUGGACAACAAAGACCUCGCGGCACGGGACGCCCUGUCUCGGGACCUGAUGGACUGGCUGGCGCAGCGGCCAGAGUGGCGCGCCAUGGGCGGGCGCGACCACUUGCUCGUCUCCGGGAGGGGAACAUGGGACUUCCUCCGCAGCCCGGACUCAACCGGCUGGGGUAACACUCUCAUGACCUACGACCUGGCCAUCCGCAACGCCACGUUCCUCAGCACCGAUGCUAGCCCGCGGCACGGCAACGACUUCGCCGUGCCGUUCCCGUCGCACUUCCACCCCUCCUCCGACGCCGAGGUCACCGACUGGCAGGACCGCAUGCGCCGGCUGGACCGCGCGUGGCUCUGGUGCUUCGCCGGCUGGCCCCGUGCCCAUGGCGUCGGUAUGGGGCCCGAGCGCGCCCAGAUCAUCGAGCAGUGCGGCAAGUCGAGCCGCUGCUCUCUGCUUGGCAAGUUGAACAACUACGUGCCCAUGCGGCUGCUCGAGAGCGCCAAGUUCUGCAUGCAGCCGCGCGGCGACGGAUACACGCGCAAGUCCACCUUCGACUCCAUCCUCGCCGGCUGCAUCCCGGUUUUCUUCCACCCGGUGUCCGCCUACCUACAGUACACCUGGCACCUGCCCAGGGACUACCGGACCUACUCCGUCUUCAUCCCUCACGGCGACGUCGUCGGCCGGAACUUCAGCAUCGAGGAGGUGCUGCGUAGGAUACCGUCGGAGAAGGUGGCGCAGAUGCGGGAGCGGGUCAUCCAGCUUAUACCCACCGUGAUGUACCGGCACCCGGCGGCCAAGGGGCUUACGUUCAAAGACGCGUUCGACGUCGCCCUUGACCGUGUCCUCCACCGGGUGGCCAAGCGCCGGCGUGCCGCGGCCGAGGGACGGGAGUACGUGGACAGCGUCGACGGACGUGAUAGCUGGAAGUACGACCGGAUGCUAGAAGAUGGGCAGAACAAGAUAGGUCCGCACGAGUUUGAUCAAUAUCUAGUCAUGCACGCAACCAAAGAUUAA